ensembl:snoRNA
CAUAGGUAGUGAACUUACUGAUGGCUGGACAGAGACUGUGUGCUGAUUCUCAUGUUCUGACAGG